ensembl:lncRNA
GACUCACGGGUUUACUCCUCCUGUGGCAGAGAAUAUUUUAGCGCAGCUUUAGGACCCAGGGAGGCUGGCUGGCUACCCGUUCCGCUGCAGGAGAAGAGAAGAGGCAUGGACAGAGUUGUAUGCGCUGCUGUUCCAUCUCUGAUUUAACUGUUCAAUAGAUAACGGUCUAGGAUUCCCAUCUUCUCGAGGAUUAGGCUUCUCUAAAUAACUGAUUUGAUCCCAGUAUCCGCUCCUUUUGUUUUUACAAGCAGAGAAGAAGUACCGAUAUCCGCUCAACUCGUCCAGUUGGCAGUUAUAGUUUUAAUUUGCUAUUCUAUGGUGUAUGCGCUGCGAGGUAACGUGGGCUACACAGGAAAGUUUCUCACAUUUUCAUAUGAGCAUGGACCUAUUCUUCUUUUGAUUUAGACAAGCACGCAGACCAGUUAAUACCACAGAAAUUGGAAAACUUGAUUGGCCACUAGUGAUGCCAGGACAGUGAGCGCCAUGCGUGUCACAUGGUCAGCUGCCACUCCCUUCAUCAUUGUUGCCCUGCUCAGGCUUGUCCAAUCACAGCUACUGGAGGGAUCUCUGGUUCCAGAUUGAGAAAGAUUAGAGAGAGCAUCAGGAGAAAUCUCAGGGACCUCACAGUAGGAGGAACUGUUGGAGAGGAAAGGCAGACAAAAC